rnacentral:rRNA from 1 species
CCUACGGGAGGCAGCAGUGGGGAAUUUUGGACAAUGGGCGCAAGCCUGAUCCAGCAAUGCCGCGUGCAGGAUGAAGGCCUUCGGGUUGUAAACCGCUUUUGUACGGAACGAAACGGCUCCUAUUAAUACUGGGGGCUAAUGACGGUACCGUAAGAAUAAGCACCGGCUAACUACGUGCCAGCAGCCGCGGUAAUACGUAGGGUGCGAGCGUUAAUCGGAAUUACUGGGCGUAAAGCGUGCGCAGGCGGUUAUAUAAGACAGAUGUGAAAUCCCCGGGCUCAACCUGGGACCUGCAUUUGUGACUGUAUAGCUAGAGUACGGUAGAGGGGGAUGGAAUUCCGCGUGUAGCAGUGAAAUGCGUAGAUAUGCGGAGGAACACCGAUGGCGAAGGCAAUCCCCUGGACCUGUACUGACGCUCAUGCACGAAAGCGUGGGGAGCAAACAGGAUUAGAUACCCUGGUAGUCCACGCCCUAAACGAUGUCAACUGGUUGUUGGGUCUUCACUGACUCAGUAACGAAGCUAACGCGUGAAGUUGACCGCCUGGGGAGUACGGCGCAGGUUGAACGUCAAAGGAUUGACGG